rnacentral:rRNA from 1 species
CACGCGAGGCGGUCCGUCAAGUCGGAUGUGAAAUCCCCGGGCUCAACCUGGGAACUGCAUUCGAAACUGGCAGGCUAGGGUCUUGUAGAGGGGGGUAGAAUUCCAGGUGUAGCGGUGAAAUGCGUAGAGAUCUGGAGGAAUACCGGUGGCGAAGGCGGCCCCCUGGACAAAGACUGACGCUCAGGUGCGAAAGCGUGGGGAGCAAACA